GACGAACGCUGGCGGCGUGCCUAAUACAUGCAAGUCGAACGAGAGCGACCGGUGCUUGCACUGGUCAAUCUAGUGGCGAACGGGUGAGUAACACGUGGGUAACCUGCCCAUCAGAGGGGGAUAACAUCCGGAAACGGAUGCUAAAACCGCAUAGGUCUUCGAGCCGCAUGGCUUGAAGAGGAAAAGAGGCGCAAGCUUCUGCUGAUGGAUGGACCCGCGGUGCAUUAGCUAGUUGGUGAGGUAACGGCUCACCAAGGCCGUGAUGCAUAGCCGACCUGAGAGGGUGAUCGGCCACAUUGGGACUGAGACACGGCCCAAACUCCUACGGGAGGCAGCAGUAGGGAAUCUUCCGCAAUGGACGCAAGUCUGACAGAGCAACGCCGCGUGAGUGAAGAAGGUUUUCGGAUCGUAAAACUCUGUUGUUAGAGAAGAACAAGUGCUAGAGUAACUGUUAGCACCUUGACG
rnacentral:rRNA from 1 species